UGAACCGAAGUCGUGUAACGAUCGACAUAGAAUUAUCUAUACUCCGUUAGAGCGUUUUCUUUGUACUAAAAGUUGUAUUAUAUUAUAUUUUUCAUUGCUUUUUACUAUUUUGUAAAAACAAAUUUCCAAUGAAUUAAAACAAUAACAUGAACAAUUGUAAUGACACCAUUGCGCGAUCAACGCCAUCUAUCUACGGAGUAUAGGAACAGCCCGACAUUGUUCAAUUCCGUACUAUAAGUACUGUUCGGAAACUUCUCCGAACCGAAUAUAAAAACUUCUCGAACAUAAAUACUUUUUGUUUGCUGGCUGGCGACGGCAUCAGAGGGAGGAUCACGACUCGCACUUUCGCCCGAGCAGCUGUAAGCAUCACAUGUACGCGUCGCGCGCAUCAAAAUUAUUCUUUUGUUUUUUCUCAAACCGUUUUGUAAUCCGUUGUACAUAAAUAAACCAGUACCUAUUAUAUUUUUAUAUUAUUAUACAGCCCAAGUAUUCUCUCCCUAACAAGUACUAUAAGUACGGAAUUGAACAAUAGAUGGCGCUGUAUGUCCGGAAUAAAUUAUUUUUUUAUUUUAUUUUUUUGAUUUUUGAAAUAAAAACUAUGUCCUAUGUCCUUUCUAAGGUUCUAAACUAUAUCUGUACCAAAUUUCAACCAAAUCCGUCAAAUAGUUGCGGAGAUUAAUGGUAUAAGCACAGAAUAGUGUUCGACGUGAUUAUUUAAUUUGUCAUAACUUUUUUAUUUAUGAACCGAUUGACAUGAAACAAACACUAAAAUAAUGUUAAUUGAAGCAUAGUACAAUAUAUUCGUGAAAACCGCAUCCAACUCGAAUCAGCCGUUUCUGAGAUUAGCGUGCACAGAUAAACAGACAAACAGACAAAAAAAAAGUUAAUUACAUUUUUAGGUUCGACAUCGACAUAACAAUAACCCCUGCUAUUUUUUUUAUUUUUAUUUUCAAUGUACAGACAGCACUUUUCUACGAUUUUAUUAUAUAUAUAGAUAGAUAUAUAGAUAUUAAGAUUUACUUUGUAAUCUGGCUUUUUACACCAAAUAAAUAUUUUAUUAUUAUUACUAGCAAACCCCGCAAAUGUUUCGCCACCAGAUGUUUCUUUUUGUAACAUUUCGUUUGGGUAAUAAAAGAUGAAGAAAAAUUA